rnacentral:rRNA from 1 species
GAUGAACGCUAGCUACAGGCUUAACACAUGCAAGUCGAGGGGAAACGACAUUGAAGCUUGCUUCGAUGGUCGUCGACCGGCGCACGGGUGAGUAACGCGUAUCCAACCUGCCUCUGACCAAGGGAUAACCCGUCGAAAGUCGGCCUAAUACCUUAUGCAGUCGUCGGAAGUCAUCUGAUGACGACGAAAGAUUUCAUCGGUGAGAGAUGGGGAUGCGUCUGAUUAGCUUGUUGGCGGGGUAACGGCCCCCAAGGCAACGAUCAGUAGGGGUUCUGAGAGGAAGGUCCCCCACAUUGGAACUGAGACACGGUCCAAACUCCUACGGGAGGCAGCAGUGAGGAAUAUUGGUCAAUGGGCGAGAGCCUGAACCAGCCAAGUAGCGUGCAGGAUGACGGCCCUAUGGGUUGUAAACUGCUUUUAUGCGGGGAUAAAGUGAGGGACGUGUCCUUCAUUGCAGGUACCGCAUGAAUAAGGACCGGCUAAUUCCGUG